rnacentral:rRNA from 1 species
UACGAAUUAAGAAUUCMWGGUCCYGUGAAGRUUUCGGAUAGGGGSGACGCGCGCCGUUYSGCCGCCCGCGACGUCGCGAGAAGUCCACUGAACCUUAUCAUUUAGAGGAAUGGGAAGUCGUAACAAGGUUUCCGUAGGUGAACCUGCGGAAGGAUCAU